AAAUUGAAGAGUUUGAUCAUGGCUCAGAUUGAACGCUGGCGGCAGGCCUAACACAUGCAAGUCGAACGGUAACAGGAAACAGCUUGCUGUUUCGCUGACGAGUGGCGGACGGGUGAGUAAUGUCUGGGAAACUGCCUGAUGGAGAGGGAUAACUACUGGAAACGGUAGCUAAUACCGCAUAACGUC
rnacentral:rRNA from 1 species